GUCCGGCCGACCCGAGCCCGCAGUCCACAGUCCGCCAGCCUCGCCCGUCCUCUCCUCUGCAAGCUAGAGCACCAGCACUCGGAGCUCAAGAUGCAGAGGUGCACCCGAAGCCUCCUCUUUGCCUCCCUCAUCCUCUGUGCCUCCCUGUCAGAGACCCUGGGACUCGUGUUAUCUGCCAAGGAAAAGAGAGGCUGGACCUUGAACAGUGCUGGUUAUCUCCUUGGCCCAC